AAAAUAUUACAAUUUUGAAACAAAAGGUUCUCGACGUGCGUGGCACGUCAUUCCAGCGCAAGAGGUUAAUUGCGAACGCGUAUGUGCUAACGGCGACUUUAUGGAUUAGGUUUCACUAAUAUUUGAUUUAUCACAGUUGUCGUCAUCAGUGUGAGUCCAAAUAAUCAAGUAAUAAAUCUAAUUGUUAAUAUUUUUCGAAAUAUUAACAACAUUACAUCCAGAAUCAUAAAGUCACUGUUAGAACGCACGCAAGUGCCCACAGUGUUAAAUGAUUAAGAAACAUUUUUGCCAUUUGUUUCCUUCAAAUAGUUUCACAUUCGAAGGAAUUCACCUAUAACAGCCACGAACAAGCUUUUCUUUCCACCCUGUGCAUACUUGUCUCUCGUCGAGUGUCUCGACGAGACGAGCGAAACGCGCAUCGGCGAAACGGCUCAUCGCCAGAUCGGUCGUCGCGAGGAAGAAUGGGUGACGGUGACGAUGACGGAAAAAUAAAGAAGCGACAGAUACAGAGAGGGCAAACACGCUGGAAAAGAACGAGAAAUAAACGGAAAAAGUAACUAGAUUCUAUUACGCGCGUAGUGCUACAGGUUGUAGCACUGUAUCCCCCCUCUUUAGCUUUCCUCCUUGUCUUUUCUCCUCUUUUUCCUUUGCACCUCCCUCUGUCCCCUCCCCUCCAGCCCCUCUGUUCCUUCCGUCGCUUCUUUAUCCUCGUGUCCAGUGAGACAAGAGUAUGCAAACAGGGAACACGUUUCUGUGCGCACAUCGAGACAAACAGACAGUAGUCUAAAUGUACGAGCGUUAACGCGCGGUGAUAUCGAUGCACACGUACGGCAGAUACGUACGUAGCCAUUCAAAGGCGAAAAUAGCGAUCCUCGCGAUGAAGCUCGUACAUGAGACAAAGUAAACUCGCGCGAAAGUUUCGACACACAACGGGGCGAUUAUCGUGGAUAAAAGCCACUUGUUCCGUCGAACGUACUUGCGAAAAUUCAGCCUGCCACGCGCGUCGAAGGCGCGUUGUUGCGCGCGUGAGAGAAGAAAGCUUUGCGAAGGAAUAUUUACAAAGUACGCACAGCAGAAAGGGGAGUGAAUGAAUAAGAGAAAGAGAAAGAGAGAGAGAAAGACAGAGACAGAGAGGAAGAAGAAAAAGAAAGGGAGAAGAAAAUGAGAGCGCAGAAGAAAUGAAGAAAGAGAAGAUGACGAAGAAUGAAGAAGAAGAAGAAGAUUAGAAGACACGAAGAAGAUUAGAGGAAACAAGACGAAGAACAAAGCAACACCACGAACAAACCAUAGGUGGACCAUAGGCAAAAAUAGAAGACUACCGCAGUGGUCACAGAAGGUGGGGCUGUUGUAGGUGUGUUGCUUGAAUUGGUGCUUCGUCCGCGUGUCCUGCGUUAUUACACCAUUACACCGUGCACACACACGCAGACUCUCGGGUCAUGGCGGCAAAGUAAGGAUAUAUAUAUCGUCAUGGUGUAGGAUUGGGGAACGAUGGGAAUUGGCUCGAAACAUGGACCGGGGGGACAGAGAUCGGCGAGAAUUGAUUUCCCAGAUGACGAUCGAUCGUAUUUCAUCGACGUUCGACGAAUUAUUGGACCUAAAACUCAACUUAGGCCAGGCAACGUUGCCACGAAUUUUGAGAAUCGAGCAAGUGACUAUUGACUUGUAUUUUUGAUUACUUUUUGAUGGCGUGCACGAUUAAUAGUCUCUUGCUUCUAAAGUACGUCUUGCAAUUUUCACAACAAGCGCAGAAACUAUAGUUAUCAAGAAAAGUGUCUAGAGUUACAGAACAAGGGAAUAAAUUUCAUUGUUUCAUUAUUUUCACAAAGGAUUGUUCAAUGAUGUCAAAAUUAAUUUAAAGUGAAACAUUUUGUUCCAAAUAUAUUUAGUAUUAUCGUUUAUGUUACAUACUAUACUUGUGAUACUUAUAUAAUGCCAUGCAAUGAUACUAAAUACCAAUAAAUAACAUUUACUUUAA